GCCCUCGUAGCUCAGCGGAUCAGAGCGGACGGUUCCUAUCCGUCAGGUCGCAGGUUCGAAUCCUGUCGAGGGUACGA
rnacentral:tRNA from 1 species